rnacentral:rRNA from 1 species
AUUGAACGCUGGCGGAAUGCUUUACACAUGCAAGUCGAACGGCAGCACGGACUUCGGUCUGGUGGCGAGUGGCGAACGGGUGAGUAAUGUAUCGGAACGUGCCCAGUCGUGGGGGAUAACGUAGAGAAAAUUACGCUAAUACCGCAUACGAUCUAUGGAUGAAAGCGGGGGAUCGCAAGACCUCGCGCGAUUGGAGCGGCCGAUAUCAGAUUAGGUAGUUGGUGGGGUAAAGGCUCACCAAGCCAACGAUCUGUAGCUGGUCUGAGAGGACGACCAGCCACACUGGAACUGAGACACGGUCCAGACUCCUACUGGAGGCAGCAGUGGGGAAUUUUGGACAAUGGGCGAAAGCCUGAUCCAGCCAUUCCGCGUGCAGGAUGAAGGCCCUCGGGUUGUAAACUGCUUUUGUACAGAACGAAAAGGUUUCUACUAAUACUAGGAGCUCAUGACGGUACUGUAAGAAUAAGCACCGGCUAACUACGUGCCAGCCGCCGCAGUAA